UACGGGGGGGGCAAGCGUUGUUCGGAAUUACUGGGCGUAAAGGGCUCGUAGGUGGCCAACUAAGUCAGACGUGAAAUCCCUCGGCUUAACCGGGGAACUGCGUCCGAGACUGAAAGGCUUGAAUCCGGGAGAGGGAUGUGGAAUUCCAGGUGUAGCGGUGAAAUGCGUAGAUAUCUGGAGGAACACCGGUGGCGAAGGCGGCAUCCUGGACCGGCAUUGACGCUGAGGCGCGAAAGCUAGGGGAGCGAACGGG
rnacentral:rRNA from 1 species